CUUGGGAAAAGGGCUGGGCUGUUACCACUGGGCAGUGGCCCUGGCCUGGGAUCAGGGGUCAGGAGUCCAGGGCUCCAGUCAGGGCCCAGAUUGACAUCUGGGAGUCUCCUUUUCUUUCAGAGCUGCAGUGACCCCAUAAAGGAGAGAGGACCACACCCUGAAGGCACAUGGCAGUGAGGGAGAAAGAGAGAUCUCCCAUCUGUUGGUUCAACUCUCCAAACAGCUGCAACAGCCAGGGCUGGGCCAGGCCAACAUCAGGAGCCUGGAAUUCUAUCUAGGCUGUCCAUGUGGUGUGGCAGGGCCCCAAGCACUUGGGCCAUUAACUGCUGCCUUCCCAGGUGCAUUCGCAGGAAGCCGGAUCAGAAGUGGAACAGUCAGGCCUUGAACCAGUGCUCAGAUACGAGGCGCCAAGUUCUUUCCUGGAGUCUCAGUCUCGUGAGGCCAGGGAGGCCAUGUGGCACCGAGCUGGCUCAUGAAACACAGGUGAACAUUUGCUAAGAGGCUCCUGGGCAAGUUCCUGCCUUCCUGACGACGGCGGCAAGCAGGCCUACUGGGUGUGCGCUGGAGCAGCGACAGCCUCCCUGCAACCACAGGAGCAAGGCCACGAGAAGCGGCCAGCCCUGCGCCGGCAGCAGUGGGCCCCGGGAGCCCCGGGAGGGCUGCGACUGUGCUGACGGGGGCGGGCCCGCUCACCUGGGCGUGCUUGAAGACGUGCAUGAUGCAGAUGGUGAGGCCCAGGCCGAAGAUGUAGGCCGCAAAGCUGGUGUAGAAGUAGGUGUGCGUGUUCUUCUUCAGGCUGCGGGGAAAGCGCAGGGGUCAGCCGAGGGCACUGCUGCAGCAACAAACCUUCAGAGGACGGAGCCGGGGGGGCCGGGGGAGCCGGGAGCCCCGGGCUGGACGCGCAUCUGUCACUGCCCUCAGCUACGUCUCCUGAUGAGUCACCUUCCUUUUCUCAGCCUCAGUUUACUCAUCUGCAAAACGGGAAAACCACAAGCCCAUCUCCCUGGGGGUUUGUGAACAUGGAUGCUGUAUCUAGAACCUAGAACACUGGCGCUAAGACGCCAGCCAGCAUAACAAUCUGGAAAGCUUAGAAAAAAACAAAAAAUACAGGUUCUAGGUCCGGGUCCAGACCCGAUCUAGCAGGUCUGGGGUGAGGCCCAGGAAAUCACUAUCUGAAAAACGGAGGGAAUCUGAUACGGGGUCGCGCUUUGAGAAACCACAGGCAGUCAUCACCCACAAGUGCAGCGGGUGCAGCUUGGUGGCACUGUGUCGACUGCGCGGGUCCAACAUGGGCGGCGCCGUGACCGCCGUGUGCCCCCAGUGAUGCCACACAAGCUGGCCCUGGCUGCUUCGGGGGCUCCAGCUGCAAGCGCCCUGGGAGCUGCUGCACUCCCCCUGGGAAGGCUGCAGGUUCUGCCAUCAGCCUGGAAGGCCUGUGAGCCUAUGCUAGGAACGAGAUUUGGCCUCCGCAGGUGCCGGCAGUGGCACCUCCAGCCAAGGGCCAGGGGAAUCCUGUGCGUCCCUUCUGUGUUAGCUCUGCUUAGCCAGAGCACACAUGGCUGGCCCUGAUGUGCCUCUCCUUACAGGCUGGCCAGCUCCCCCUCCUCCCAAGGCCCGUUGUCUGUUAGCCCUGUGUCCCUGCGUUCCAAAUGGGCAGUAUACAAACAACCCAGAUGUCUGCGAGUCAGAGUCGGAGAGGUUGUCUGGGUGGAAGCUCAGCGACCUAGCACUGAGUCUCACCCCCGCCCCCACUUCUGCAGCUUUAGCAAUGAUCAGCCAAGCCCUGGCUGGCGCCACCUGCUGGUGGCAGGGCCAGUCGUUCAGGCGCUAACUCAGAUAGGACCUGGAGUGUUGGGCAAGGGUGGCCUCCCCUCCCUCACGCCCUUUCCUCUAACAGGCAGCCCAGGAGUCUAAGCAAGGAGCCAGAGGGAACAGCUGCGCUGUGUUGACCGAGCCCAGGAUGCUACCAGCGAAGCCAUCGGCUGCGGCUGGAUCCCCCCGGGCGCCCCCAGCCUCUCCUGAUGACCCUGCGGCAGGAAUCGUCUCCUGUGGACCUAAGGAUGAGGGGCUGGGGCUUGGAAAGGCUGGGCAGGCAGCAUCACGAGACCUUCUGUGCUGAAGUCUCCUGGCCUGGGGUU